UUUUUUUUCUCUCUCGACGUUAUAAUAGAUUAGUCAUGGCAUUAUUUUUGAUGACUUGAAUAAUGAUAGCCUUCAAGUUAGCCCAAGAGCCUGCCAAGCUGCUACCGUCAACUUGUGUUAUCAAGGCUGCACAGCCUCCUGUCCUGACACUUACUUUAUUGUGCUAAUAAGCUGAUUUAUUUGAUACCGUAUCCAAGUAAUGCUUUACAAUAUUAGUUUCCUUGAAGUUACAUGGAAGUUGCCUUGGUUGUCUGUGACAAAUCAAAGCUUACAAACAGAACUGCCAUGUUAGUAUGGAAAGGGAGCUUUUACAUCGUACAUCGAAAUGUAGCCCUGCUUGUCAUUUUGCAAUGUUUUUUUUUUCUCUCGACGUGGAGUAGUCUCGACCUAACUUUUAUUUGCUGGAAUGAUGAUGGCUUGGUGAAGUUAGCUCCAUGAAGGCACGAGAGCCCAUCAGCUUACUCUUGAAGCUGUUACUUUAUCCAAAGGAGGCUGCGUCUGAGCCUCGUACUUAUAUUGUGUCAAUAAGCAGAUCGUAUUGAUAACGCAUCCAAGUAAUACUUUACAACAUUAGUUUAGUAACUAGAAGUUACAUCGGAGUCACAUUGGUUUUCUUUGAAUGUUGUGGUUUUGGUCUGUUUUCAGAUGUUGGUAGAGAGUGCUGCUAGCAAAGAUGGGGCGGGUGCAACUACCACUUCAGAGCCUGAAGAUGAUGGAGAUGGAGACAUCUCUACGAUGGACCCCGAGCCAGUAGUGGUCAAUCGUGGAUCACAGUGCAACAUAAGAUGUUUACAUCGUUCAUUGGGCGUACAGAAAGCACUGGAUGCUGAGAAGGACUGUGAAGAUCUGAAGCUAUGGAGGCCAGCUGUUAUAAACCAUCUAUACUGGACCGCAGCUUCCACCCCUAUACAGGAGAUCCAGAUGAGAUGCAGGCGAAAUGGCAGAGCAUGAUCAACCAUAUGCAGUAUAUACAUCAACACAGCACUCCUGAAUUCCCCAGUUGCGCACAUCCACCGUUGGAAGGAGAGGCAAGGCGUGGCUGGAACCAGGAUCACCAGCAGCCAUUAAACUGGAGAGUGUAGCUGCCAGGAAAGCACUGGUGAAAGAUGUAAGACAGUUAUCCCCUCAGCACCAGACAUUCUCCCUAGAGGCCUACCAUUCCCUCAUUCUACACUUCGCUCCCAAACACACGGGAUUCUCUUUUCUUGGGAUGUA